AAAAUUAUGAUAGAAAUUGUGAGAGAUGUUUAUAAAAGAAUUUUGGAGAAAAUUGGUAUUAUAAUUGAUUAGUAGUAUUAAAUUUUGAGUUGGAAAUUGAUUAUUUAAUUUAAUUGUGUAUAGGAUUUAAUUGGAGGAUUAUUUUGGAAUAAGAAUUAAAAGUACAAUUUUAUUUUUGUGAGGGUUUAAUGGAAAUUUGUGAGUUUGGUAUUUUCGUAAAUAAAUAUGUCGGUCAGGGGUAUUUUUAUAAUUGUGUAUUUUCAAUAAUUCGGAUUUGGCCCAAAUUAAUUAGUUAAGGGCUUAAUUGAAAGGCUAAAAAGAAGUUUGGGGGUUAAAUUGAAAUUCUGCAGGAUGAGAUUGUAAGUAAUUAAGGAAGUUGAGGGACCAAAUUAUAAUAAGGAAAAGUUCGGGGGCCUAAUGUCGAUAUUGAAAGGAAAGAAAAUCGGGGAAGAAGAGAGGUCUGGAGAGAGAGGAGCGCGCAGAAGAAUAAGCUGCGGCGUCGGAAGCCGAGCGCUGGGGGCGCGAAGCGCAGGCCGACGAUGCUGUGGGGCGUCAGCAGCGGCUACUGGCAGCGCCAACGGCACCAGCAGGCGAUGGCAGCAGCUCUUGCGCGAGGAGGAAGAUGGCCGAAGCUUCCUUGCCGCCGUGCGGGCCCUUCCGGCUUCGGUGACUGUUGAUCUCGGUGUCGAUCGACUCCUCUCGCUCUUGGCCUUGUUUUGGCGGCAGCGGUGUCGACAAUGGUAGCCGGAAACGGAAGAUCCGGUGGAGAGAGAAAAUGGAGGCAACCGAGGUUUUUCAGCUUUUCCGGUGAGCUCCAGCGGAGGAUGGACGAUCGGAGGACAUAUCCCGACUCUCCUCAGCUCAAGCUUCGCGAUGGCACUGGUUUCGUGGCAAUCGGGCUCCGUUUGCAAAUCGACGGCCGAGAUCGUUCCCAAAUCUCUCCGGAUGAUCGGGUGUCAGAUCGGAAAAUCAGUAGCGGCGAUCGUCGUCAGCGCGUCGUUGUGAGUCCGAUGGUGUGUCCGGAUUAUCGAUCGGACUCCGGCGGCCGGAGGCGAGUCGACCGAGCGUCUCGGUAAUUUUCUCUGGCCCGUUAAUUUUAGAAAUUCUUUGAUUUAUUUUGUGUAUCUAUUGAUUGUAUUGAGUAUUUGAUGAUAUUUGUGAGUCAUAAAUAAUUGUCUGUCAGUUUGCCUGCCUCGUAUUUUGUGCUGUGUGGCGGAGUCGGGAAAUAGUAAAGUUUGGGGACCCGACUCCCGUUAUUUAAAUUGUUGGAUAUUUGGAGUGUUUUCUGGCAGGUCCUGAACCCGUUUUUACGGGAGGUAAUGUUCGUGUUGUAGGGGAGGUUCUGCCGGAUUUUCGGUAGAAUUCUCCCGAGUCGAGAUUCUUAGACAGUUAGUCCUAGGAGUCUAGACCUAGGAUUAAUGAUCGAUUAUUUCAGCGUUUUGAUAAAUUGUUUUCCGUGAUUAGAUGAUCUGUCUGUUCGGCUCGCUCUAACUGAGGCACCGGAGCAGAGCUAGGAGGUCGCCCAAUUCUGUGAGUUAAAGUCAUUUAAUCAUUGCACUAUUGCUAAGUUUGAUUUUAAUAUGCUAUUUUGGAAGUUUAUGCUUAAUUUGGUUAUUAGUAUCGCAAUGUAAAUAAUUUUACUGGAUUAUUAAUUAAUGAAGAUAAUAUAAGUAUUAUUAUAGUAAUGUUAUAAUAAUACCAAAUAUAAUCAGUUUUCCACAUGAGUUGCCUGAUGUCUUACUCUUAAUUGUUAAUUGUUAUUUUGAUAUGGUUGAAUGAUUUCAUUAUACAAUGAUAUUUAUUAAAUGUGAAGAUUGCGUUUUGGGAAAUGUGGCUUUCGUAGAACAUGCCACCUGAUGGGUUACAUCAGGACCGCGUGCGCACCGGUAAUGAUCAUGGACAUGUAAUUAGAUUUUUAUGGGUUGCCCUGGUCGAGCAUUGCUCUCGGGGCGCCAGCUUAUUUGGAUACUUAAGUGACCGGACUGGAAGUAAGGUCCCUGGUCGAGCAUUGCUCUCGGGGCGCCAGUCUUAUUGGAUUAAGAGAGCCAAAAUGGCUAUUAGAAUUUGGGGUUAGGGUUCUACUUAGCCACACGUCCCGUGAAAGUAAAAAUGUCUUUAUUUAUUUACUUUCUCUCCUUUUAUCAUUUUAUUAUUAUGGUGUAUGAUUAUAUAUUAUAAUUGCAAUUAUAUUUAGAAAUUGGUAUAUUGUUUUGAAUAAUUAAUAUAUCAUGUGAAGGUUGCAAUUGUCCUUAGAUUAUUUGAUUUUAACUCACUCUCGAGACUGACAGUCUCAUUUUUACUGUUUUUCAGAUUCGUGACUGUUAGUCCUCUCGCGACUCUUAUUCAGUAACCCGACUCCUUCAUCAUCGGGUGAUGUAUUUGAUUUGGUAUGUAAAUUGGUAAAUCUUAAAUUCUCCGCAGUAGUAAUUAGUAGAUGUAUCAGUUGUAAAUUUUAUGAGUUUCGGGUCUCGCCUAAUUUUUCUGGCAGACCGAAGUAUUUAUGUAGAAUGUAGCUAUUAAGAUAAUUUGUGAUUUUAAUAAUAUAAAUUUGAGAUGAGAUUUGUUUAAGUCAGUGAGUGUCAGGCUUACUACGGGUUUCGGUGGCCUUACGCCUACCCAUUCCCUAGUGCCGGUCACGGGUGGGGUCGUGACAGUUAUUUCUUAAAAACAAAAUUUGUAAUAUAA
rnacentral:lncRNA from 1 species